UCCCUUGUGGCUCAGCUGGUAAAGAAUCUGCCUGCAAUGCAGGAGCCCAGGUUCGAUUCCUGCAUUGGGA
rnacentral:tRNA from 1 species